UGCUUUCCCUGCCAGAAAGGACACAGACAAGUGUUCCCUGCAGGACAGGUGGGAGCAGAGGCAGAACUGUGGGAAAUACAAGCCAAGCCUGGGGAGCUGUCCUCACUUCUGGGCUUGGUCCUGCCCAGGAACCUUACUCUGGUUGUGUCCCUCAGGCUUCAAGCACAAGAAGAUGAUAUGUCAUUGCUUUGGCCAAGCUGGCAACACCUUGGAAGAUGACGAGGCAAUUUCUGGCAGAGGAACGCUGUUGAGGAUCAUCCUGUCUGCUGGGCUCAAUUUCAACAGGCUUUUCCCUGAUGUGAAUGCCUCUGGAAAUCCUGCCUACCACCAUGUUCCAGCUACCAAAGCAUCAUCAUGGCUUGGAGUGCUCUCACCAGCUGUGGUCUCAGUGUGGAAACACGUGGGAAGGGGUGAGAGAAUGCAGCAUGAGCUCCUGUCUGGUGAUAUAUAAUGGCUGGAGCACUUGUUGCUGCCCCGGCACCUCCUUGUCAUCUGCCUGGGCAGCUGAGAGAAGAGGAUUGGUUCAGCUACAGCCAUGUCUCUUUGGAGUGGGAAAGCCAGACUGGGAGAUGGGGAGUGAAAGGAGAGAGGGGCUGGCAGAGGCAGCUGUGCCUCUGGAGCCGGGAGCUCACGGCACCACUCCCAGCAGCCCGAUUGCCUCCAGUGCCCAGCCUUGCCAGCCUUGA
rnacentral:lncRNA from 1 species